rnacentral:rRNA from 1 species
CCUACGGGUGGCACCAGUAGGGAAUCUUCCACAAUGGGCGCAAGCCUGAUGGAGCAACGCCGCGUGUGUGAUGAAGGGUUUCGGCUCGUAAAACACUGUUAUAAGAGAAGAACGGCACUGAGAGUAACUGUUCAGUGUGUGACGGUAUCUUACCAGAAAGGAACGGCUAAAUACGUGCCAGCAGCCGCGGUAAUACGUAUGUUCCAAGCGUUAUCCGGAUUUAUUGGGCGUAAAGCGAGCACUGACGGUUAUUUAAGUCUGAAGUGAAAGCCCUCAGCCCAACUGAGGAAUUGCUUUGGAAACUGGAUGACUUGAGUGCAGUAGAGGAAAGUGGAACUCCAUGUGUAGCGGUGAAAUGCGUAGAUAUAUGGAAGAACACCAGUGGCGAAGGCGGCUUUCUGGACUGUAACUGACGUUGAGGCUCGAAAGUGUGGGUAGCAAACAGGAUUAGAUACCCGUGUAGUC